rnacentral:rRNA from 1 species
UACAGAGGUCUCAAGCGUUGUCCGGAAUCAUUGGGCGUAAAGAGCUCGUAGGCGGCUCGGUAAGUCGGCUGUGAAAGUCCAGGGCUCAACCCUGGGAUGCCGGUCGAUACUGCCGGACUAGAGUUCGGAAGAGGCGAGUGGAAUUCCCGGUGUAGCGGUGAAAUGCGCAGAUAUCGGGAGGAAUACCCAUAGCGAAGGCAGCUCGCUGGGACGUUACUGACGCUGAGGCGCGAAAGCGUGGGGAGCGAACAGG